rnacentral:rRNA from 1 species
AACGAACGCUGGCGGCGUGCCUAAUACAUGCAAGUCGAGCGGACAGAAGGGAGCUUGCUCCCGGAAGUUAGCGGCGGACGGGUGAGUACACGUGGGCAACCUACCCUGUAGAUCGGGAUAACAUCGAGAAAUCGGUGCUAAUACCGGAUAAUCAUUUGAAGUGCAUGCUUCGAAUGUAAAAGAUGGCUCCGGCUAUCACUACGGGAUGGGCCCGGGGCGCAUUAGCUAGUUGGUAAGGUAAUGGCUUACCAAGGCAACGAUGCGUAGCCGACCUGAGAGGGUGAUCGGCCACACUGGGACUGAGACACGGCCCAGACUCCUACGGGAGGCAGCAGUAGGGAAUCUUCCGCAAUGGACGAAAGUCUGACGGAGCAACGCCGCGUGAGUGAUGAAGGUUUUCGGAUCGUAAAGCUCUGUUGUUAGGGAAGAACAAGUGCCGUUUGAAUAAGGCGGCACCUUGACGGUACCUAACCAGAGAGCCACGGCUAACUACGUGCCAGCCGCCGCAGUAACAC